ACGGAUAACAGUCAACAUGCCAUCUCCCUGUGAGCCGUGCAAAGAUUCGUGCCCCGAAGGAUCUUGCAAAGACUCUUGCACCUGUAAAGAAAAAGGCUGCAGUGAUUGCUCUUCUGAAGGUGGAUGCUGCUAGAAGAUGGACAGAGUUGAACAUGAAACCCGCUCUCGGGCAACCAAGUUCCUAGAAGUUUUCUUCCCUAUAUCAUUUUCUGUUGUCUUCCUUAUAACUAUUGUUUUAUUUUAUUGUCUAAUAUAAAUGUUCUGUUGAA